rnacentral:rRNA from 1 species
AUGGACGAAAGUCUGACGGAGCAACGCCGCGUGAGUGAUGAAGGUUUUCGGAUCGUAAAGCUCUGUUGUUAGGGAAGAACAAGUGCCUUUGAAUAAGGCGGCACCUUGACGGUACCUAACCAGAAAGCCACGGCUAACUACGUGCCAGCAGCCGCGGUAAUACGUAGGUGGCAAGCGUUGUCCGGAAUUAUUGGGCGUAAAGCGCGCGCAGGCGGUCUCUUAAGUCUGAUGUGAAAGCCCACGGCUCAACCGUGGAGGGUCAUUGGAAACUGGGAGACUUGAGUACAGAAGAGGAGAGUGGAAUUCCACGUGUAGCGGUGAAAUGCGUAGAUAUGUGGAGGAACACCAGUGGCGAAGGCGACUCUCUGGUCUGUAACUGACGCUGAGGCGCGAAAGCGUGGGGAGCAAACAGGAUUAGAUACCC